rnacentral:rRNA from 1 species
GAUGAACGCUGGCGGCGUGCCUAAUACAUGCAAGUCGAGCGAACGGACGAGAAGCUUGCUUCUCUGAUGUUAGCGGCGGACGGGUGAGUAACACGUGGAUAACCUACCUAUAAGACUGGGAUAACCUCGGGAAACCGGAGCUAAUACCGGAUAAUAUUUUGAACCGCAUGGUUCAAAAGUGAAAGACGGUCUUGCUGUCACUUAUAGAUGGAUCCGCGCUGCAUUAGCUAGUUGGUAAGGUAACGGCUUACCAAGGCAACGAUGCAUAGCCGACCUGAGAGGGUGAUCGGCCACACUGGAACUGAGACACGGUCCAGACUCCUACGGGAGGCAGCAGUAGUGAAUCUUCCGCAAUGGGCGAAAGCCUGACGGAGCAACGCCGCGUGAGUGAUGAAGGUCUUCGGAUCGUAAAACUCUGUUAUUAGGGAAGAACAUAUGUGUAAGUAACUGUGCACAUCUUGACGGUACCUAAUCAGAAAGCCACGGCUAACUACGUG